AUUGAACGCUGGCGGCAGGCCUAACACAUGCAAGUCGGGCGAGCGGCGGACGGGUGAGUAAUGUAUGGGGAUCUGCCUGAUGGCGGGGGAUAACUACUGGAAACGGUAGCUAAUACCGCAUACCAUCAGAUGAACCCAUAUGGGAUUAGCUAGUAGGUGGGGUAACGGCUUACCUAGGCGACGAUCCCUAGCUGGUCUGAGAGGAUGAUCAGCCACACUGGUACUGAGACACGGCCCAGACUCCUACGGGAGGCAGCAGUAGGGAAUCUUCGGCAAUGGACGAAAGCCUGAUCGAGCAACGCCGCGUGAGUGAAGAAGGUCUUCGGGUCGUAAAAUUCUUUUGUUAGAGAAGCGGUAUCGAACCAGAAAGCCACGGCUAACUCCGUGCCAGCAGCCGCGGUAAUAC
rnacentral:rRNA from 1 species